rnacentral:ncRNA from 1 species
CUCAAAGCAAUGAACAAGUCAGUAAUAAUGGCCUCGUGGUUUAGAGAAAAAGUGGUCGCUGCAAACUUUGCGCAAGUCAUUGAUGAAAGUAACUUGGGAGCUGUUGUUUUGAAAUCUAAGUAGAAACAGCCGGUAGAAACCGUUAUUUCGUUGAAGUGGCGCAUUAUGCGCAAUUUAGGUGGUACCGCGAGUCAGCAUUCGUCCUAGCA